AUGGACGCCGCGGAGAGCAACGACACCACCAAGCUGCAGACCCCGCUGCUGCUGCCGACACCGCCGCCGCCGAUGGCCGGCAGUGACGGCGGGGAGCGGCGGCUGGAGAGCAUCCUGGGCGACGGGUCGGCUCCGUGGGCGAGGAGGAUGUGCGCGGCGACGGCGGUGGAGCUGCCGAUGCUGGCGCGGCUGGCGGCGCCGGCCGUGCUGGUGUACAUGAUCAACUACCUCAUGUCCAUGUCGACGCAGAUCUUCGCCGGCCACCUCGGCACGCUCGAGCUCGCCGCCGCCUCCCUCGGCAACACCGGCGUCCAGAUGUUCGCCUACGGCCUCAUGCUUGGUAUGGGGAGCGCGGUGGAGACAUUGUGCGGGCAGGCAUACGGCGCGAGCAAAUUUGACAUGUUGGGCAUCUACAUGCAACGCUCCACAGUCUUGCUCAUGGCGACCGGCAUCCCGCUCGCCGCCCUCUACGCCUUCUCCCGGCCCAUCCUUAUCCUGCUCGGCGAGUCACCGGAGAUCGCCCGCGCCGCGGGCAUCUUCGUGUACGGCCUCAUCCCGCAGAUCUUCGCCUAUGCGGUCAACUUCCCCAUCCAGAAGUUCAUGCAGGCGCAAAGCAUCAUGGCCCCGAGCGCCUACAUCUCCGCCGUGACGCUCGUCGUCCACGUCGUCCUUAGCUACCUCGCCGUCUACAAGUUUGGUCUGGGGAUCUUGGGUGCCUCCCUCAUUCUUAGCGCCAGCUGGUGGAUCAUCGUCAUCGCGCAGUUCAUCUACGUUGUCACCAGCAGCCGGUGCCAGCUCACGUGGACUGGGUUCUCCGUGAGGGCCUUCUCUGGCCUGCCCCAGUUUUUUCGGUUGUCCAUUGCCUCCGCCGUCAUGCUCUGUCUCGAGGCUUGGUACUUCCAGAUACUCGUGCUCAUUGCUGGCCUCCUCAAGAACCCUGAAUUGUCGCUUGCAUCGCUCUCCAUCUGCAUGACCAUUUCAGGGUGGGCAAUCAUGAUUUCUUUUGGAUUCAACGCAGCAGCCAGCGUGAGGGUCAGCAAUGAGCUUGGAGCUGGAAACCCCAAGUCAGCAGCAUUCUCAGUGGUGGUAGGGACGAUGGUGUCCUUCACCUUGUCACUGAUAAUCUCGGUGGUCAUCCUGCUCUGUCGUGACUAUAUCAGUUACAUCUAUGCUGACGGGGAGGACGUGGCAGCGGAGGUGUCCAAGCUGACGCCGCUGCUGGCACUAACCGUCAUCCUCAAUGGUAUCCAACCCGUACUAUCAGGGAUGGCCGUGGGAUGCGGUUGGCAAGCGUUCGUCGCCUACGUUAACGUGGGAUGCUACUAUGUCGUCGGCGUCCCCUUGGGUUGCCUCCUUGGCUUCUACUUCGACCUCGGCGCGGCGGGCAUAUGGUGUGGUAUGAUUGGAGGUACUUUCAUGCAGACCGUCAUCCUAGUGUGGGUUACCAUCAGGACAAAUUGGGACAGCGAGGUGGCCGAAGCAAUGAAAAGAUUACACAAGUGGGAAGACAAGAAACCUCUAUUAGCUGUCGAGGAAUGA
rnacentral:rRNA from 1 species